GGAUGGGCACCAAUCACUGGCGAGAAUAGCGGGCUGUAAACCCGUGGCUUAACUGCUGUGUAGGUUCGACUCCUACCUCAUCCA
rnacentral:tRNA from 1 species